UCAAGUCUACAGAAGAGUUAAGGAAAACGUCCUUCCAGAAAGAUCCAGAAAGUUGAUACAUUAGCAACAAUAGCUAAGGGGACACUGGAACACCAUAGCACGUCUGACGAUGAACCUGUACUGGCUUUUGUUCCUUCAAGUUCUGAUGAGUCUGAAGGAGAACCACUCAGUGAGAGAGAGGAUGAUUUAAGAACCAAACGAAAGGGAAGGAAAAGAGGAAGUAAGAAAGUGAAAAGGCGCUGUUAUGACCAUGAAGAACAAGAAAGAAUUCUUGAAUAUAGAAAAGAACAAGAACGAAAAUCUAAGGAAAUAAUUGAAAGUCUUAAGACACCGAAAGGAAACAAUUUUUGAAAGAGGUUUGUGAGAACCAACCGAGUUUCAUAAUAGAUAUUGCUAGAAUUUUAUCAAAAAGGAAAGAGAAAAAGAACCAAGACCCUCGUGUCCAGUCCGGAGUGGUUAUUUUGUCACAGAUGCCCACAAUACGAGAGAGUGGAAGAUCGAGUUUGCUGUGGGAUGGUCCCAGAAUUAUGCUCAAGUCACAGACAUGUGAGU